ACUCAAAUGAAUAGACGGGGGCCCGCACAAGCGGUGGAGCAUGUGGUUCAAUUCGACGCAACGCGAAGAACCUUACCUAGGCUCGAACGGCUAUGGCAAGCUGGUGGAAACACUGGCCGACCCGCAAGGGACUGUAGUCGAGGUGCUGCAUGGCUGUCGUCAGCUCGUGUCGUGAGAUGUUGGGUUAAGUCCCGCAACGAGCGCAACCCUUGUCCUGUGUUGCCACUUCGCAAGAAAGCACUCUCAGGAGACCGCUACCGAUAAGGUGGAGGAAGGUGGGGAUGACGUCAAGUCAGCAUGGCCUUUAUGUCUAGGGCUACACACGUGCUACAAUGGCCGGUACAAAGCGUAGCCAACCCGCGAGGGGGAGCCAAUCGCAAAAAACCGGUCUCAGUUCGGAUUGCAGGCUGCAACUCGCCUGCAUGAAGCUGGAAUCGCUAGUAAUGGCAGAUCAGCACGCUGCCGUGAAUACGUUCCCGGGCCUUGUACACACCGCCCGU
rnacentral:rRNA from 1 species